rnacentral:ncRNA from 2 species
CUUUGCCUGUGAAUUUAUGGUGCUCGACUUUUGUGAAAAGUCAGCUUAAAAGGGAAUCAGAGUGAGAUUAUAGAUAAAUUAUUUGAAGAUUAAUGAUAACGGAACCGUAUUCCUGAAAAUCAAUAUCUAAAAUAAGAAAUCCAAUAUCAAAACCUGAGCUGUACCCGCAACUGUAAGCUAUUCAGCUUGUAAUGAUCUACAACCACUGUUUGAAAUUUAAAACGGGAAGGUUAAUUACAAGACGCAAGCCAGGAGACCUGCCUAAAUUUAUUUUAUUAA